rnacentral:misc_RNA from 1 species
AACUUUCAGCAACGGAUCUCUCAGUUGCGCGAAGCUGGCCAUCCAAGUGCGACGAGUGUUCGUUGGCCUUUGGGCGAAACGGUCUACCCUCGUACGAACGUUCCGGGCCUCGCUCUGGCGACGAGGCCGGCGGUUCGAUCCAGAUCCGCGUUGCGCCAAGGAAGCGCCAACUUUUGAGGCAACGCGGUUCCGAUACGCAAUCCUGAACCUCGCCGCGCCGAACGCGGUGCAAAUCAAUGGAACGGCCGCCGAGUCGCCCCGGCGGCCGUUUGCUUUGAUGCGGAAAGUACUAAUGCCGCCUCGCUCGCGCCCUGAAUCCCGAAUAUGCCUAGGGGCAUGGAUCAAAGAAUGACCGAACUGGAACGCGCGUUUCAGCUGGCGAGGUCUGGGCGCGUUGCCGGACUCACGGACAUCAUCACAACACUUAAGCAUAUCAAUAAGCGGAGGCC